CACACGUGCUACAAUGCGGCGGACAAAGCGAACCUAAAGCGCGAGCUCAUGGAAAUCGCAGAAAUCGCCGCCCAGUUCAGAUCGGAGGCUGCAACUCGCCUCCGUGAAGUUGGAAUCGCUAGUAAUCGCGGAUCAGCUACGCCGCGGUGAAUGUGUUCCUGAGCCUUGUACACACCGCCCGUCAAGUCAUGGGAGCCGGAAAUGGCCGAAGUCGCCUCGACACGGAGGUGCCUACGCCAGGUUCGGUGACUGGGACUAAGUCGUAACAAGGUAGCCGUAGGGGAACCUGCGGCUGGAUCACCUCCUUUCUA
rnacentral:rRNA from 1 species